rnacentral:rRNA from 1 species
UACGGGGGGGGCAAGCGUUGUUCGGAAUUACUGGGCGUAAAGGGUUCGUAGGUGGCCAACUAAGUCAGACGUGAAAUCCCUCAGCUUAACUGGGGAACUGCGUCUGAUACUGGUAUGGCUUGAGUGCAGGAGAGGAACGCGGAAUUCCAGGUGUAGCGGUGAAAUGCGUAGAUAUGACAUAGAACACCAAUUGCGAAGGCAGCUUACUACCCGAAUAUUGACACUGAGGCACGAAAGCGUGGGGAUCAAACAGG